rnacentral:rRNA from 1 species
AAUGAACGCUGGCGGCAUGCCUAACACAUGCAAGUCGAACGAGACCUUCGGGUCUAGUGGCGUACGGGUGCGUAACGCGUGGGAACCUGCCCUUAGGUUCGGAAUAACUCCCCGAAAGGGGUGCUAAUACCGGAUAAUGUCUUCGGACCAAAGAUUUAUCGCCUUUGGAUGGGCCCGCGUUGGAUUAGCUAGUUGGUAGGGUAAAAGCCUACCAAGGCGACGAUCCAUAGCUGGUCUGAGAGGAUGAUCAGCCACACUGGGACUGAGACACGGCCCAGACUCCUACGGGAGGCAGCAGUGGGGAAUAUUGGACAAUGGGCGAAAGCCUGAUCCAGCAAUGCCGCGUGAGUGAUGAAGGCCUUAGGGUUGUAAAGCUCUUUUACCCGGGAUGAUAAUGACAGUACCGGGAGAAUAAGCUCCGGCUAACUCCGUG